UGCGACCUCCGGUUAGGUGAGACUACCCGCUGAAUUUAAGCAUAUUAAUAAGCGGAGGAAAAGAACU
rnacentral:rRNA from 1 species